CCUACGGGAGGCAGCAGUGGGGAAUAUUGGGCAAUGGGCGCAAGCCUGACCCAGCAACGCCGCGUGAAGGAAGAAGGCUUUCGGGUUGUAAACUUCUUUUCUCAGGGACGAAGCAAGUGACGGUACCUGAGGAAUAAGCCACGGCUAACUACGUGCCAGCAGCCGCGGUAAUACGUAGGUGGCAAGCGUUAUCCGGAUUUACUGGUUGUAAAGGGCGUGUAGGCGGGAAAGCAAGUCAGAUGUGAAAACCACGGGCUCAACCUGUGGCCUGCAUUUGAAACUGUUUUUCUUGAGUACUGGAGAGGCAGACGGAAUUCCUAGUGUAGCGGUGAAAUGCGUAGAGAUUAGGAGAAACACCAGUGGCGAAGGCGGUCUGCUGGACAGCAACUGACGCUGAGGCGCGAAAGCGUGGGGAGCAAACAGGAUUAGAUACCCCUGUAGUC
rnacentral:rRNA from 1 species